GCAUUUGGAGCGUCAGCCGCUCCCGCUGGCUCUCUGGCUGACUUGGGAUCAGCUCCUGGAUUUCCUCGCACUUCCUCCUCAGCUCCUCCACUCGCGCUCGCUCCUCCUCCAGACGCUCUCGCUCCUGCUGGGAAACAGAAAGCUGAGCUGAGCGACUCGCCGGCCUGACUGGAAGUGUUUUUUGUUUUCUUUCUCAGGCUGUGCUCCCGAGAUGCGUAUCUGGUCCACAGAUGAGUCCUGUGAGCAGUCAUCGUGCUGGGAAUCAUCACUCCCCAUCGAUACCAGUUUGGUCUGGGCUCGCUGUUGCAGUUCUCCCAGCUUCUCCUCGUGUUUCAGCAGCUGCGCCUUCUCCGUCUGCAGUUCUCCCUGGAGCAGGGCAAUCUCCAGCUGCAGCUGAGAGCACGCGACAGGCGGGAGUUUAGCAGCGAGGAAGUAAUCUUUUUGACCACAUGGUCGCUUAUCAACAAGCAUAUUACACAACACAACCAGUGUUGGAAGGGACAAACUGCUCAGUCAGAAUUUUUUUUUUACAGCGCUGAGAGUUGCCAUAGCGACGUUUUACAGCGAAUGCAGAGGUGGAUAAAAGCGCUAGUUCCUGACCAUGAUCCUACUCAUAAUAUUUGAAAUGUACCUCCUGCCAUCAACAUCGGGAAGUUACCUACAGCCACAGCAGUUGAUACCAUUUUUUGGUGGACCGAGAUAUAACUACAGACCAUAGCGGUUAUUUUCGUGUUGACAAUGCACCCAGCAAAUGUAGAAGAGAAUACUUUUCAUUAGAGAUGUCAAAUAAUAUCGGACUGCCAAUAUUAUCGGCCGAUAAAUGCUUUAAAAUGUAAUAUCGGAAAUGAUCGGUAUCAGUUUCGAAAAGUAAAAUGUAUGACUUUUUCAAACGCCGCUGCACGAAGUGGUACAUGGACGUAAGGAGAAGUACAGAGCAGUUGAGUCUCCCAGUCAUACUUGCCAACCCUCCCGAUUUUCCCGGGUGACUCCCAAAUUUCAGUGCCCCUCCCAAAAAUCUCCCGGGGCAACCAUUCUCCCGAAUUUCUCCCGAUUUCCACCCAGACAACAAUAUUGGGGUCGUGCCUUAAAGGCACUGCCUAUGCGCGCCGGCCCAAUCACAUAUUAUCUACAGGUUUUCACACACACAAGUGAAUGCGAGGCAUACUUUAUUAACAGCCAUACAGGUCACACUGAGGGUGGCCGUAUAAACAACUUUAACACUGUUACAAAUACGCGCCACACUUGAACCCACACCAAACAAGAAUGACAAACACAUUUCGGGAGAACAUCCGCACCGUAACACAACAUAAACACAACAGAACAAAUACCCAGAACCUAGGGGUGUAACGGUACGUGUAUUGAACCGUUUCGGUACGGGGGUUUCAGUUCGGCACGCGGCAGUGUGUGUGUGUGUGUGUGUGUGUGUGUGUGUGUGUGUGUGUGUGUGUGUGUGUGUGUGUGUGUGUGUGAGAAUAGUCUCUCCUAUUGCAAUUAUACUAUUUUUUCAGCUAUAGUUACAUGAAUCAGUAAUGUAGCAGCCUAGUUUUGAAUAGCAGGGUCCCUGCUAUCACAUGUUGAUAAAAAUACAACAUUUACAUAAUAAAAGUCAACUACAGGCUACCCAAACGCUGUAAUAAAUUAAGCAUGAUGAGUUGGCAUUAAACAGUUUCAAUGGAAACUGUUUAAUGUUGCACUUUUUAUUUGUAGAAGAAAGGUUUUGUAAUUUUAUUUAAUCAAAGCAACAACUUGAGGCAGUUUAAUGUGGAUUAACGUGGGCAGAAUUAUUAUAGUGUUCCCAAUGUUAAAAGGAUAAAGCCAUUGUUUACAAAUUUGGUAAAUAAAUAACCAAAAUAUUUAUAUUUUGUUGUUUUCUUACACUACCGAAAAUUAACCGAACCAUGACCUCUAAACCGAGGUACGUACCGUACCGAAAUUUUUGUGUACCGUUACACCCCUACUAAAACCCCUUGCAGCACUAACUCUUUCGGGACGCUACAAUAUAAACCCCUGCUACGCCCCCCCCCCCCACCCCCUCAACUCAAACCAACCCCACACACCUCAACCUCCUCAUGUCCCAGAUUCCAAGCUGCUGUUUUAAGGUAUGUUAAAAAAAAUAUGCACUUUGUGACUUCAAUAAUAAAUAUGGCAGUGCCAUGUUGGCAUUUUUUUCGAUAACUUGAGUUGAUUUAUUUUGGAAAACCUUGUUACAUGGUUUAAUGCAUCCAGCGGGGCAUCACAACAAAAUUAGGCAUAAUAAUGUGUUAAUUCCACGACUGUAUAUAUCAGUAUCGGUUGAUAUCGGAAUUGGUAAUUAAGAGUUGGACAAUAUCGGAAUAUCGGCAAAAAAGUCAUUAUCGGACAUCUCUACUUUUCAUAUAUAUCUGUAGUAUUCAUUAAUACCGCCGUACUAAUAAAGUACGGCGGUAUUAAUGAAUUAAAAACUGUACUACAGUGCUCUUUAAAAAUACCGGUAAUUUUUUUUUCCCCCGGACAUGACGGCGCGCCGUUGUCACAUUAUGUCAUUGCUAGUGAAACGAGCAGAGGAGAAUGUUACACGCUGACGCACGGAGUACUUACAAGCAGAAACAGUGUGGAGACACAAGAGAGAGAAUGGAUGCAUUUUGGCUUAAAAACUAACAAAAAAGUUGAAGCGGCGCUCUGCAAGAUGUGCUUAGCAUCUUGCAGAUCCAAACAAGCCAAAACAACAACAAGAAACUGUACUGUCCUGUGUGCGCUGCUCUGCCAACACGCGCACACACACAAAGUCCCUUUGGUGCCCUCACAAAAGAUCAGCAAUCACAAAUAAAUCCCUAACUUUAACAACCCUAUUGCUACAAUAAUACACAUUUAAAAAGUAAAAUUCCACGCACAGUACAUUAGGAAGGGAGCGGACAGAGGAGGAGCAGUAAGGGGUAGGAAGAAAGGGCCCUGUGUGUGUUGUCUUAAAUGACAGGUAGUCUUCUCCUUCGCUGUGAAAUAAGUCUGCUUUGGCAAAUUUUUCCAUAAAAGUAAGUUCUCAUCACAAUUAAUAACUGGUACGACG